GGUUAUGGUAACCUAAAAUGGGUGGACUAUGUACAUAAAGGGAUGCAAUUUCUAAAAGGAUCAACUGAUGUUCCUUUCCACAGCUGCCAAAUCCUGCUGCCCUCGGUUGAUGGCCUGCUCCAUAUUCCUGCACAUAGAAGCCAUCAGGGGGCCUGGGAAGAGACUGGCCAGUCAACCAUCACACAUAAGUGAAGACAUGAGAUAAAUCUGUCAGAUACUACACACAGAUGGAGAAACCAGCCAGCCUGUCAUGAUCCUGAGUUCUGUCUGUUCUUCUU